CCUACGGGGGGCUGCAGUGGGGAAUAUUGGACAGUGGGGGCAACCCUGAUCCAGCCAUGCCGCGUGUGUGAAGAAGGCCCUCGGGUUGUAAAGCACUUUCAGUGAGGAAGAACGCCUGGUGGUUAAUACCCAUCAGGAAAGACAUCACUCACAGAAGAAGCACCGGCUAACUCCGUGCCAGCAGCCGCGGUAAUACGGAGGGUGCGAGCGUUAAUCGGAAUUACUGGGCGUAAAGCGCGCGUAGGUGGCUUGAUAAGCCGGUUGUGAAAGCCCCGGGCUCAACCUGGGAACGGCAUCCGGAACUGUCAAGCUAGAGUGCAGGAGAGGAAGGUAGAAUUCCCGGUGUAGCGGUGAAAUGCGUAGAGAUCGGGAGGAAUACCAGUGGCGAAGGCGGCCUUCUGGACUGACACUGACACUGAGGUGCGAAAGCGUGGGUAGCAAACAGGAUUAGAUACCCUUGUAGUC
rnacentral:rRNA from 1 species